rnacentral:rRNA from 1 species
CUACGGGAUGCAGCAGUGAGGAAUAUUGCACAAUGGGGGAAACCCUGAUGCAGCAACGCCGCGUGGAGGAUGACGCAUUUCGGUGUGUAAACUCCUUUUAUAUGUCAAGAAAAUGACGGUAGCAUAUGAAUAAGCACCGGCUAACUCGCGUGCCAGCAGCCGCGGUAAUACGGAGGGUGCAAGCGUUAUUCGGAACCACUGGGCGUAAAGGACGCGUAGGCGGGUUAUCAAGUCAGGUGUGAAAUCCUACAGCUUAACUGUAGAACUGCACUUGAAACUGGUAGCCUAGAGUAUGGGAGGGGCAGAUGGAAUUAGUGGUGUAGGGGUAAAAUCCGUAGAUAUCACUAGGAAUACCGAAAGCGAAGGCGAUCUGCUGGAACAUUACUGACGCUAAGGCGUGAAAGCGUGGGGAGCAAACAGGAUUAGAUACCCGAGUAGUC